rnacentral:rRNA from 1 species
CAAUAGCGUAUAUUAAAGUUGUUGCAGUUAAAAGCUCGUAGUUGGAUCUCGGGUCCAGGCCUGCGGUCCGCCUCGCGGCGGUUACUGCUCGUCCUGGCCUACCUGCCGGUGUGUCCCUUGGUGCUCUUGAUUGAGUGUCUCGGGCGGCCGGAACGUUUACUUUGAAAAAUUAGAGUGUUCAAAGCAGGCGUGUCGCCUGAAUAAUGGUGCAUGGAAUGAUGGAAUAGGACCUCGGUUCUAUUUUGUUGGUUUUCGGAGCUCGAGGUAAUGAUUAAGAGGGACUGACGGGGCAGUUCGUACUGGGCCGCCAGAGGUGAAAUUCUUUAACUGGCUCAUGACGAACCACUGCGAAAGCAUUUGCCAAGAAUGUUUUCAUUAAUCAAGAACGAAAGUCAGAGGGUCGAAGAUGAUCAGAU